rnacentral:lncRNA from 1 species
GUUCCUGCUCUGGUGGGCACUCUCAUCUCAUGCCCUCCACUCAGGCUCUGAGCCAAAGCAGUGCCAACCUUUCCAGGUGAGGUGAAUGCAAGACAACCAGCCCCUACCUGCAAUUUGCUGAGCUAGUGUACUGGUAAUAUGGGCCAAAGACUGUGAUCUCUUCUAGAAACACCUGGCUGGUUACAGACACACAGGAAGAAAAAUUGGGUAAACACAACUAGCUUUCCGUCAAGUUCUGGUGGGGGCUACCCUCACCACUUCGACUGAGAAGACACAGUUUCCUCCCAGAAAGUUCUGGGGGGUAGAGGAGUGAGUAUCCUGGACCUUGGAACCAUUGGCUACCUCGCAGCUCUCUUACCUGCGCCGUUAAGAAACGUUUCUGUUCCAUUUCUGGUUCCUUUUGGA